rnacentral:rRNA from 1 species
CCUACGGGAGGCUGCAGUGAGGAAUAUUGGUCAAUGGGCGCGAGCCUGAACCAGCCAAGUCGCGGGAGGGAGGACGGCCCUACGGGUUGUAAACCUCUUUUGCCGGGGAGCAACGGGCGCCACGUGUGGCGCCACUGAGAGUACCCGGAGAAAAAGCAUCGGCUAACUCCGUGCCAGCAGCCGCGGUAAUACGGAGGAUGCGAGCGUUACCCGGAUUUAUUGGGUUUAAAGGGUGCGUAGGCGGAUCGUUAAGUCAGUGGUCAAAUUGAGGGGCUCAACCCCUUCCCGCCAUUGAAACUGGCGAUCUUGAGUGGAAGAGAAGUAUGCGGAAUGCGUGGUGUAGCGGUGAAAUGCAUAGAUAUCACGCAGAACCCCGAUUGCGAAGGCAGCAUGCCGGCUUCCGACUGACGCUGAAGCACGAAAGCGUGGGGAUCGAACAGGAUUAGAUACCCUGGUAGUC